GAGAGACAACUGAAGGAGGCAGCAAAGAGGAGCACAUCACUACAGGGUUGGCUACGAAAAAUCCAAACAGCAGAUGAGGAGCAGCCACAAGCCUCCAGACACUCGGAAAAUGUGGACCAGGAGGAGGCACAUAGGGCAGGUCAGAGCAACUGCCCCUCAAAAUUCCUGUGCACGUCCCUG